rnacentral:rRNA from 2 species
GCAGUCGAACGCGUUGGCCCAAUUGAUUGAUGGUGCUUGCACCUGAUUGAUUUUGGUCGCCAACGAGUGGCGGACGGGUGAGUAACACGUAGGUAACCUGCCCAGAAGCGGGGGACAACAUUUGGAAACAGAUGCUAAUACCGCAUAACAACGUUGUUCGCAUGAACAACGCUUAAAAGAUGGCUUCUCGCUAUCACUUCUGGAUGGACCUGCGGUGCAUUAGCUUGUUGGUGGGGUAACGGCCUACCAAGGCGAUGAUGCAUAGCCGAGUUGAGAGACUGAUCGGCCACAAUGGGACUGAGACACGGCCCAUACUCCUACGGGAGGCAGCAGUAGGGAAUCUUCCACAAUGGGCGCAAGCCUGAUGGAGCAACACCGCGUGAGUGAAGAAGGGUUUCGGCUCGUAAAGCUCUGUUGUUAAAGAAGAACACGUAUGAGAGUAACUGUUCAUACGUUGACGGUAUUUAACCAGAAAGUCACGGCUAACUACGUGCCAGCAGCCGCGGUAAUACGUAGGUGGCAAGCGUUAUCCGGAUUUAUUGGGCGUAAAGAGAGUGCAGGCGGUUUUCUAAGUCUGAUGUGAAAGCCUUCGGCUUAACCGGAGAAGUGCAUCGGAAACUGGAUAACUUGAGUGCAGAAGAGGGUAGUGGAACUCCAUGUGUAGCGGUGGAAUGCGUAGAUAUAUGG